CAAAGACACAACAUGAUUAAUUAAUGAUUAGAAAAACAGAGCAGAAGAAAAGUAGCGGUGGAGAGCUGUGUGCACGCCGACAUCCCGAAUAUGGUCCUUUAAGUCCAAUAUGGCCCUUCUCUCCUUUAGGCCCUCGAGGCCCUAUGACCCCACGUGGCCCAUCUGGUCCGGGCCGUCCGAUCUCACCCAUUGGCCCAGGACGACCCUGAGGAAAGGAAACAAAAAUAAACAGAUGCAAUGA